AGAGUUUGAUCAUGGCUCAGAUUGAACGCUGGCGGCAGGCCUAACACAUGCAAGUCGAACGGUAGCACAGAGAGCUUGCUCUCGGGUGACGAGUGGCGGACGGGUGAGUAAUGUCUGGGAAACUGCCUGAUGGAGGGGGAUAACUACUGGAAACGGUAGCUAAUACCGCAUAACGUCGCAAGACCAAAGAGGGGGACCUUCGGGCCUCUUGCCAUCAGAUGUGCCCAGAUGGGAUUAGCUAGUAGGUGGGGUAACGGCUCACCUAGGCGACGAUCCCUAGCUGGUCUGAGAGGAUGACCAGCCACACUGGAACUGAGACACGGUCCAGACUCCUACGGGAGGCAGCA
rnacentral:rRNA from 1 species